rnacentral:rRNA from 1 species
CAGGCUUAACACAUGCAAGUCGAGGGGCAGCAUGGUCUUAGCUUGCUAAGGCCGAUGGCGACCGGCGCACGGGUGAGUAACACGUAUCCAACCUGCCGUCUACUCUUGGACAGCCUUCUGAAAGGAAGAUUAAUACAAGAUGGCAUCAUGAGUCCACAUGUUCACAUGAUUAAAGGUAUUCCGGUAGACGAUGGGGAUGCGUUCCAUUAGAUAGUAGGCGGGGUAACGGCCCACCUAGUCUUCGAUGGAUAGGGGUUCUGAGAGGAAGGUCCCCCACAUUGGAACUGAGACACGGUCCAAACUCCUACGGGAGGCAGCAGUGAGGAAUAUUGGUCAAUGGGCGAGAGCCUGAACCAGCCAAGUAGCGUGAAGGAUGACUGCCCUAUGGGUUGUAAACUUCUUUUAUAAAGGAAUAAAGUCGGGUAUGGAUACCCGUUUGCAUGUACUUUAUGAAUAAGGAUCGGCUAACUCCGUGCCAGCAGCCGCGGUAAUACGGAGGAUCCGAGCGUUAUCCGGAUUUAUUGGGUUUAAAGGGAGCGUAGAUGGAUGUUUAAGUCAGUUGUGAAAGUUUGCGGCUCAACCGUAAAAUUGCAGUUGAUACUGGAUAUCUUGAGUGCAGUUGAGGCAGGCGGAAUUCGUGGUGUAGCGGUGAAAUGCUUAGAUAUCACGAAGAACUCCGAUUGCGAAGGCAGCCUGCUAAGCUGCAACUGACAUUGAGGCUCGAAAGUGUGGGUAUCAAACAGGAUUAGAUACCCUGGUAGUCCACACGGUAAACGAUGAAUACUCGCUGUUUGCGAUAUACAGCAAGCGGCCAAGCGAAAGCGUUAAGUAUUCCACCUGGGAGUACGCCGGCAACGGUGAAACUCAAAGGAAUUGACGGGGGCCCGCACAAGCGGAGGAACAUGUGGUUUAAUUCGAUGAUACGCGAGGAACCUUACCCGGGCUUAAAUUGCAGAUGAAUUACGGUGAAAGCCGUAAGCCGCAAGGCAUCUGUGAAGGUGCUGCAUGGUUGUCGUCAGCUCGUGCCGUGAGGUGUCGGCUUAAGUGCCAUAACGAGCGCAACCCUUGUUGUCAGUUACUAACAGGUUCCGCUGAGGACUCUGACAAGACUGCCAUCGUAAGAUGUGAGGAAGGUGGGGAUGACGUCAAAUCAGCACGGCCCUUACGUCCGGGGCUACACACGUGUUACAAUGGGGGGUACAGAGGGCCGCUACCACGCGAGUGGAUGCCAAUCCCAAAAACCUCUCUCAGUUCGGACUGGAGUCUGCAACCCGACUCCACGAAGCUGGAUUCGCUAGUAAUCGCGCAUCAGCCACGGCGCGGUGAAUACGUUCCCGGGCCUUGUACACACCGCCCGUCAAGCCAUGGGAGCCGGGGGUACCUGAAGUGCGUAACCGCGAGGAGCGCCCUAGGGUAAAACUGGUGACUGGGGC